UACGUAGGGUGCAAGCGUUGUCCGGAAUUAUUGGGCGUAAAGAGCUCGUAGGCGGUUUGUCGCGUCUGCUGUGAAAACUCGGGGCUUAACUCCGGGCCUGCAGUGGGUACGGGCAGACUAGAGUGCGGUAGGGGAGACUGGAAUUCCUGGUGUAGCGGUGAAAUGCGCAGAUAUCAGGAGGAACACCGGUGGCGAAGGCGGGCCUCUGGGCCGUAACUGACGCUGAGGAGCGAAAGCAUGGGGAGCGAACAGG
rnacentral:rRNA from 1 species